rnacentral:lncRNA from 1 species
GUUGGAGCUAAACUUUUCAGGACACCGGCCUUCCAGUACCGAGUUUGGACACCCCUGGUAUACAUAAUAGCAUGUGAAACACACAAAUAUGGUACAACACAAUGAUUAAGGAAACGUCAGCGCGCUGAAGGUGAUGAUGAAGAUGCUCGGAUGCCUCAGGCCAAACGACUGAGUUCAGUCCUCCAGAGCUCAGAGACGGGUAGAGAAUCAUGGGAGUCUGAGUCUUCCAGUAGCGAGAGCAGUUGGAUCAGCAGUCCGGAUCACGCCGCAGGGAGCAGCAGCAGUAGCCAUUGUGGAGUGGAUGUUAUCGGGCCCCACGGCGGCCCCGGCCCCUGCAGUCCCCACAGUGCCUCUAAGCAGUCGGACCCCAUGGACCUGCUGUCCUACCAGCACAUCAACCGUGUCCUGAGGGAAGCCCAUUUCCACAGCUUACAGAGCCGAGCUCAGUCCAAGCACAGGUGACUUUCAGGGACAGAUUAACCCCAUAGUGGACCCCUAGAAGACAGGGUAAAACUUCUUCAUCUCCAUCCUCGUUCAAACCUGCUCCUACUUUCUAGAUCUCUCUGCUAUAGCUCAUUUUAUGUUGAUAUUUUAUUGGAUGGAAAACAUGCCCUGGUACUGUAAGCUCUUUGACUAACUAGAGCACAAAAGUGUUCAUUGUAAGCAAUAACGGCUUGAUUAUGAUGCAAACUUUUGUGACUUUCACACUGUGUACUUUUCUUCUGAAAACAGCUGUAUUGAGAAUUAAGAUGCGGUUUAGUGGGGAUUUGCACUUGGGAAUUUAUGUUGAUCAGAUAUUGAUGUGGACCAUAUAGCAAUGCAGCUGAGCACAUUUAGAUGGGAGGCAUAAAUAUUCCAAUGCACCUCUGAUUAGUGAACUCCAUUGCAGUGCUGUAACGAAUGCAUAAAGACGGCAGUCGAUUUAAUAUGAAAGACUGCGCUGAUGGGCAGAUCUGGGGAAUUUCUUUAUAAUCUUGAAACAGUGGCUCAGAGGUUCUGCCGGAUCUCUUGCCUCCCAACCAUCACUGAAGCUGGUUGCUCAUCCAGGCAUCAGGCCUUCGAGACCCUGCGGAGGUUUUCUUGUGUGCUAUUCAAAUACUGCAUUUUAAAGAUUGUUGUUUAUUUUACUAUACCUUUUUGUAAUGAAAGAUGUACAUUACAUUUUACAUUCAGAUCAUCUACAUUUCUAAAUAAAGAUGGAUGUUCUUAAGCAAACCUGUG